rnacentral:lncRNA from 1 species
GAAGGUUAAAAUCUUCGUCUCGAUGAGGUAGAAUGGGCUUAAAUAAUAACAAAGAGACGAAUUUUGGUCCCUAAGAGACCUCAUGAUGCAAAUGUAUGUAUGCAAAAGGUAACACUCUGUGGAGAUAUGUGUCCACAAAGAAGGAAAAGAAAUCAGGAGAAACUGAUAAUCCAUAUGAGUAAUUUACUCCAUGGGACAGAGACUCUGG